UUUUAACUUACGCGCGCUGGUUAAAGUUACUUCAGGAAAACACAGAAGGUGAUCACCGACAAUACUAAAGUUUCCCAUCCAAUAAGCAUGGCACAGUCAUCUUGUAGAUGCUAUUGCAGUGUUCCUUGUUGUUCAAACAACAAACAUAAAUUUCCUUAUUUAAGUUUCCACGAUUUUCCAGUGGACGCUGAAAUACGUGCACGUUGGGUUAGGGCGAUCAAAAGAGAUGAGGGACCGAGUUUUAAAAUCCUCCGUGGGAGCACUUACGUGUGUAGUCAGCACUUAAACCCAGAGGAUGUAUCUACAUCAACCAGUGGACGAACCAGGAUUAAGAAAGGAGCAACGCCAUCUAGAUUCCCCUGGAAUGACUGGGGUAAAGGAAGAGCCUCACAAGCUCGACAGCCAGUUUACCAGAGAGCAAGGAAGCAUUUUAGGGCUGCAGUCCUAGAUGAAUCUCAGGAGAUGCCUGUCCCAGGAGACAUCACAGAGGAGGUACUGCCUGCGGAUGGAGUAGCAAAAGAUCAUGACUAUGCCUACCAUCCUUCUCCUGGUAAACUGGAUGCUGCUGCACGGAGAAUUCAAGAGUUGGAGUUUCAGGUUGUGUCACUAGAACUGGAAAUCCAGCAGCUGACAGUUAAGCAGCAAGCUGACAGUUAAGCAGCAGCAGCAGCCUCUGAUUUUCAAGUUCUGUGUCACAGAUGAGGACUUUCGUUACUACACUAGGUUCAGCUCAAAGGAGGUCUUCACUGUGUUUUGGGAGUCAGUUUACCCUUCUGCUUCAAGGCUUUUGUACUGGUCCAAGGCACAGCAAACAGCACAAGAGACACCUAGCCCUCUGCGAAAACUUCCGCUCAAGAAUGAACUGUUCAUGUUUCUCUGUCGUGUUGCAGCUGGGCUUCAGGAGAAAACCUUGUCAACCAUCUUCGAGGUCCGCUUGUCUACUGUCAGUCGCAUCAUCUUAACAUGGACAAGCUACCUUUACCAGGUUCUUGGCUCGCUACCGUUGUGGAUGACGAGAGAGCAAGUGCAGGCCACAAUGCCUGACAAGUUCAAGCUCUACUGCCCUCAGGUGAGAGUGAUAAUAGACUGCACCGAGAUCCGUUAGUGAAACAGCAUCUUCUCUCUUACUACAGUCGGAAACAUUUUCCAACUAUAAAAACCACACCACCUUUAAAGGUCUAAUUGGCAUUACCCCAUGUGGGGUUAUCACAUUUGUUUCGAAAUUGUACACAGGCUCCAUCUCUGAUAUAGAAAUAACGCAGCAAUCACAGAUCUUACAGUUACUUCAACCAGAAGAUGGAGUAAUGGCUGACAAGGGGUUCCAGAUUGAGAAGAUGCUGUCACAGGUGGGGGCAACGCUCAUCAUCCCUCCACUGAAAAAAUCAAAUCAGCUCAGCACAGAGAGAGACUGCAGUUGUGUUUCUGCCUCAGUAGCAGCAGAGAUCUCCCUUGACACUUUAAGGCUCUCUAAGUGGCAUUGUUGCUUGUAGUUAGGCUCAAAUUGUAUGUGAAAUUUAAAAUUGUGACCUCCAAUGGGCAACUGAGGAAAUCCAGGGGCACCAGGGUGUUUAAUAAUGUCUCUACUUAUCUCAGGAGGGCACUGGUAAGAGAGCAAAGACCCAAAUGGCACCGGGCCAAAUUUAGAGUCCACAAAAUUAAGGGCCUCAAGCCCGUGGAGCAAUUUGCAAAUGCCUUGUUGUGGGCGUUUGUCUUGCAGUUUCUCAACACUGGCAAGGAUGUGAGGAUCUGGAAGAGGACCUGACAAAAAAGUUGUCAUCUAGAUUUUGGUGCACCACACUCAUUGACAUCAGGCUGAGAAACACACUGAACCACAAUGGAACUUUGUGGGAUAACGUUACUGCAAAGUGUCUGCAACUGCAGCAGAACAUGAAAAUCAGAAAAACCUGAAGGUGAUGAGCCUCCUUAUUUUUCCUCAUGGACCUGUGACAACGCCCUCUGACUGUCACCUCAUCGACAACUACAUUCGAAACUAUUCCAAUGCAAUGUUUUGGUGAAAGGGCACAACAUUAACCAUGAAUGCGUUACUGACUUUUAUCUAACAAUACACAAUCUGUAGCUAACAUCAGUAAUAAACAUGAUUGCAACAAGAGUUUACAGGUCUGUAUUACAGUAAAUUAAUUAAGAAUAUGGACUUUCACUGCAGGAGAGAAAGCUAACAACUAUCGUUAUCCUAACUCCUCCGCUAACGUAAUUUGGGCGGGACAAUACAAAUGCUUACCUUCAUAUGCAAACAGGUACUGCUCAAUGAAGAAUUUGUAUCCUUUGUCAAGUUUGGAACGUGUUGUAAGUGAAAAUUUGUCUGCAAGUCGCUGUACAUCAUCUAGAUGUUUUUUUGGCAGGUGUCGAAGGGACUGGGUAAACUCCAUAGCGUUCCACUAUGCUGGCGGAAGUAAACAUACACUGCUUUGAGUCAGAACGGAAGUUGCGUGACGUCACGUGAAAAGGGCCUAUAAUCAGUUUCUCCUACGUGCAUGUAACUAAGGUGCAUGUACUUCCGCCGCCUUGAGUGUGCGGUCGAUCAUUUCCGGUUCGCGACAUUGCUAUAGCAGCGAGACGGCAGGUUUUGAUUGCGAAAGAUGGCAUAUUUCACCCGUUGUCUACAAGGCCUCCCGAAAAUUGACGUGAACGACGUCCACAGGAUUGUCGAUCACUGUUCACCUGCACCCGGUUGCAAGCGUGAAAAAGGAUUUAGAUUGUACAUAUCAAGUUACCUCCACAACUUUGAAGGCGAGUAGCGAUACGUUACCUCAGCUGUUAGCGGCUAGAUCAGCUGUUAGACAUUGACUAGCUAGUAUUUUAACUCGCAUCAAAUCGUGUCAAUAUUACGACAUACUUUAUUAGUGUUAUUAAAUACCUUGUUAUGUUGAUAUGAUUAUCAACUGGUUGUGUGUAUUUUUAAUUUGGGUUUUGUAUUUCCUCUCAGAGUCCAAGAAAGAUCCAGUGACAGGAGUAUUGCGUGUGAGGGCGUUAUGUCAUCCGUCAAUGGACCGAUCUAAACCACCUCACAGUUUAAGUGUAGGAUGAGUGUAGCGUUAAGAUGGUUAGCCAUGUUCCUGGGUUAAUCAGGUUCUUUUUGGUUCUUUGCUCUAGGUUAACCAUGUUCAUUUGGUUGACCAUGUCCCCCAUUCACGUUAAAAACGACCAGUGUAUGCUUAGUGCUACGUUACUACUAUAUUUUCACUUUUUUCACUAACAGCAAUCAGUGGUGUAGUAUAGUUUGUUUUUCCAGGUAUGCUGAACAUCCCAGGUGAAAGGUGAAAGAAAUGCAUAAGAUAGGUAUAGAAGUUUAUGUAAACCUGCUAAGUCUAAGUAGGUAUACUGCAAUCUUGGUACUUUUUAAGUUACCUGCAAAUCAAAUAGACUGCUCCACUGACCACAUUAAAAGAAAAAGAUUAUUAAUCCCUUUACUAAAAGUGUUUACAAGGAAAAAAAAGUUAAGUUUUUAUUAGCUAUUUUAACUAACAGUGUACAAAAAUAAAUAGUAGCUUACUUGAGUAGUCCAUAUAAAUAUAUGACAAAUCAGUUAUGCUACUCCUUUUUUUUUUUUUAUGUUUUUAACAUCUUGUUACAGGUGGGGCUGAAGGACUCGAUCCCUGUUGAGCUGGUCCAUCACAGCUGUACAUGUGUAGCUGGAUCAGUGCUCUGUAACCAUUGUGUGGCUCUACUUUUUCAGUCUGCACAUUAUUCUCAGCUAGACAUGCCAGUUGUUCCACCAGUGCUGAGCUGUACGGAGAGUGAACAACUGUGGCGCAAGCCAAGAACCCUGGCAAGUCUUGGAAUAAUGUAACAAUAAUUUCAAUACUACAUCUACACACACACAUCACAUACGCUCAU